rnacentral:tRNA from 1 species
UCUAAUAUGGCAGAUUAGUGCAAUGGAUUUAAACUCCAUGUAUAAAGUAUUUUACUUUUAUUAGAA